AAGUCGAGCGAGGCUUCGAGCCGAGCGGCGGACGGCUGAGUAACACGUUGGUAGCUACCCCGAACUCAGGGAUAACAUCGAGAAAUCGAUGCUAAUACCGGAUGGUCCCGAAAGGGUAAAGAUUUUUCGGUUCGGGAGGUGCCUGCGGCCUAUCAGCUAGUUGGUGAGGUAAUGGCUCACCAAGGCGACGACGGGUAGCCGGCCUGAGAGGGUGACCGGCCACACUGGGACUGAGACACGGCCCAGACUCC
rnacentral:rRNA from 1 species